rnacentral:rRNA from 1 species
GGCGGCAUGCCUUACACAUGCAAGUCGAACGGCAGCAUGGGUGCUUGCACCUGAUGGCGAGUGGCGAACGGGUGAGUAAUGCAUCGGAACGUGCCCGGUCGUGGGGGAUAACGCAGCGAAAGCUGCGCUAAUACCGCAUACGAUCUGAGGAUGAAAGCGGGGGACCGUAAGGCCUCGCGCGAUCGGAGCGGCCGAUGUCAGAUUAGGUAGUUGGUGGGGUAAAGGCUCACCAAGCCGACGAUCUGUAGCUGGUCUGAGAGGACGACCAGCCACACUGGGACUGAGACACGGCCCAGACUCCUACGGGAGGCAGCAGUGGGGAAUUUUGGACAAUGGGCGAAAGCCUGAUCCAGCCAUGCCGCGUGAGUGAAGAAGGCCUUCGGGUUGUAAAGCUCUUUCGGCUGGGAAGAAAUCGCACAGGCUAAUACUCUGUGUGGAUGACGGUACCAGCACAAGAAGCACCGGCUAACUACGUG